rnacentral:rRNA from 1 species
CUUAGUGGCGGACGGGUGAGUAACGCGUGGGUAACCUGCCCUGUACCGGGGGACAACAGUUGGAAACGACUGCUAAUACCGCAUAAGCGCACAGCAUCGCAUGAUGCAGUGUGAAAAACUCCGGUGGUACAGGAUGGACCCGCAUCUGAUUAGCUAGUUGGUGAGAUAACAGCCCACCAAGGCGACGAUCAGUAGCCGACCUGAGAGGGUGAUCGGCCACAUUGGGACUGAGACACGGCCCAAACUCCUACGGGAGGCAGCAGUGGGGAAUAUUGCACAAUGGGGGAAACCCUGAUGCAGCAACGCCGCGUGAAGGAAGAAGGUUUUCGGAUCGUAAACUUCUAUCAACAGGGACGAAGAAAGUGACGGUACCUGAAUAAGAAGCCCCGGCUAACUACGUGCCAGCAGCCGCGGUAAUACGUAGGGGGCAAGCGUUAUCCGGAAUUACUGGGUGUAAAGGGAGCGUAGGCGGCACGUCAAGCCAGAUGUGAAAGCCCGAGGCUUAACCUCGCGGAUUGCAUUUGGAACUGGCGAGCUAGAGUACAGGAGAGGAAAGCGGAAUUCCUAGUGUAGCGGUGAAAUGCGUAGAUAUUAGGAAGAACACCAGUGGCGAAGGCGGCUUUCUGGACUGAAACUGACGCUGAGGCUC